GCCUGUGGGAUAGCUCAGUCAGUAGAGCAUGAGAUUCUUAAUCUCAGUGGGUUUGAGCACCAUGUUGGGCA